rnacentral:rRNA from 1 species
CAGUCGCCGCGGUAAUACGUAGGUCCCGAGCGUUGUCCGGAUUUAUUGGGCGUAAAGGGAGCGCAGGCGGUUUAGUAAGUCUGAAGUUAAAGGCAUUGGCUCAACCAAUGUAUGCUUUGGAAACUGUUAGACUUGAGUGCAGAAGGGGAGAGUGGAAUUCCAUGUGUAGCGGUGAAAUGCGUAGAUAUAUGGAGGAACACCGGUGGCGAAAGCGGCUCUCUGGUCUGUCACUGACGCUGAGGCUCGAAAGCGUGGGUAGCGAACAGGAUUAGAUACCCCGGUAGUCCCUGUCUCUUAUACA